rnacentral:rRNA from 1 species
CCCCAAGGACACAAGCCAUGCAUGCCCGCACACCCGGGAAGCGGCGGACGGCUCAGGACAACGGUUGCACCCCCCGCGGCGGUCCCUGCUAGCCGGACACCGCUGGCAACCCGGCGCCAAGACGUG